rnacentral:lncRNA from 1 species
UUUUUAUUUUUGAGAUGGAGUUUUGCUCUUGUCAUCCAGGCUGGAGUGCAAUGGCGCGAUCUCGGCUCACUGCAACCUCCGCUUCCCAAGUUCAAGCAAUUCUCCUGCCUCAGCCUCCCGAGUAACUGGGAUUACAGGCACGUGCCACCACACCCAGCUAAUUUUUUGUAUUUUUAGUAGAAACAGGGUUUCGCCAUGUUGGCCAGGCUGGCCUCAAACUCCUGACCUCAGGUGAUCCACCCGCCUCGGCC